CAGCCGCCGCGGUAAUACGUAGGUGGCAAGCGUUGUCCGGAAUUAUUGGGCGUAAAGGGCUCGCAGGCGGUUUCUUAAGUCUGAUGUGAAAGCCCCCGGCUCAACCGGGGAGGGUCAUUGGAAACUGGGAAACUUGAGUGCAGAAGAGGGGAGUGGAAUUCCACGUGUAGCGGUGAAAUGCGUAGAGAUGUGGAGGAACACCAGUGGCGAAGGCGACUCUCUGGUCUGUAACUGACGCUGAGGAGCGAAAGCGUGGGGAGCGAACAGGAUUAGAUACCCCAGUAGUCCCUGUCUCUUAUAC
rnacentral:rRNA from 1 species